UACGUAGGGUGCAAGCGUUGUCCGGAAUUAUUGGGCGUAAAGAGCUUGUAGGCGGUCUGUCGCGUCUGCUGUGAAAAUCCGGGGCUCAACCCCGGACUUGCAGUGGGUACGGGCAGACUAGAGUGUGGUAGGGGAGACUGGAAUUCCUGGUGUAGCGGUGAAAUGCGCAGAUAUCAGGAGGAACACCGAUGGCGAAGGCAAGUCUCUGGGCCACUACUGACGCUGAGAAGCGAAAGCAUGGGGAGCGAACAGG
rnacentral:rRNA from 1 species